rnacentral:rRNA from 2 species
AGGGCGUAUGGGGAAUGCCUAGGCACACUCCGGCGAAGAAGGACGCAGCAAACAGCGAAAUGCGACGGUGAGCGGUAAGCACGUGAAGAGCCGUCGAUAUCCGAAUGGGGGAACCCACACGGAGUCAUAUCCGUGUAUCACAUGUCGAAUACAUAGACAUGAUGAGGCGAGACGCAGGGAACUGAAACAUCUAAGUACCUGCAGGAAGAGAAAAUAAGAAUGAUUUUCUGAGUAGCGGCGAGCGAAAGGGAAAGAGCCCAAACCGAUCUGAGGAUCGGGGUAGUAGGAUCAUCGAUAAAUCAAACAGAGGAUCAUAGAGGAAUCACAUGGGAAGGUGAGCGAGAGAGGGUGAGAGCCCCGUACUCGAAAUGAGAGACUGGAGAGAGAUGACACCUGAGUAGGGCGGGACACGAGAAAUCCUGUCUGAAUCAGCCGGGACCAUCCGGCAAGGCUAAAUACGAGAGAGUGACCGAUAGUGAACCAGUACCGUGAGGGAAAGGUGAAAAGAACCCCGGGAGGGGAGUGAAAGAGAACCUGAAACCAUAUGCCUACAAGAAGUCAGAGCCCGUUAAAGGGUGAUGGCGUGCCUUUUGUAGAAUGAACCGGCGAGUUACUGUAUGGAGCGAGGUUAAGCAGGAUAUGCGGAGCCGAAGCGAAAGCGAGUCUUAAGAGGGCGCGAGUUGCAUGCAGUAGACCCGAAACCGGGUGAUCUAGCCAUGACCAGGUUGAAGUUGGGGUAAAACCCGAUGGAGGACCGAACCGACCCCCGUUGAAACGUUGGCGGAUGAGUUGUGGCUAGGGGUGAAAUUCCAAUCGAACCCGGAGAUAGCUGGUUCUCCCCGAAAUAGCUUUAGGGCUAGCGUCGAGAGAAGAGUUGCGUGAAGGUAGAGCACUGAAUAUGUGAUGGCCCCAUCUCGGGGUACUGAGCAUAAUCAAACUGCGAAUGUCACGCCAACAUGCUCGGCAGUCAGACAGCGGGUGAUAAGGUCCGUUGUCAAGAGGGAAACAGCCCAGACCAUCAGCUAAGGUCCCAAAAUGUAUGCUAAGUGGAAAAGGAUGUGGAGAUGUACAGACAACUAGGAGGUUGGCUCAGAAGCAGCCAUCCUUUAAAGAGUGCGUAACAGCUCACUAGUCGAAUGACUCUGCGCCGAUAAUUUACCGGGGCUAAGCAUACUACCGAAGCUAUGGAUCCCAAGGGAUGGUAGGGGAGCGUUCCAUGAACGGAGAAGUACGACCGAAAGGACGUGUGGAGAUCAUGGAAGAGAGAAUGCCGGUGUGAGUAGCGGAACGUGGGUGAGAAUCCCACGCACCGAAAACCCAAGGUUUCCAGAGGAAGGUUCGUCCGCUCUGGGUAAGUCGGGACCUAAGGCGAGGCCGAAAGGCGUAGUCGAUGGACAACAGGUAGAGAUUCCUGUACCCGUAUAUAUGUGAAGGAAUGACGGAGAGAGGAAGCUGCAGCCAGCGGCUGGAAGAGCUGGUGCAAGCGAGAUAUCGGGAUGGCAGGCAAAUCCACCAUCCGAAACGAGAAGGCGUGAAGCGUACGGAAAGCUACGGCGAGUACGGAAGGCAGUGGAGGAACUUCCAAGAAAAGUUUCUAACGUUAAGUAUAUAUGGCCCGUACCGAAAAUGGACACACAUGGGUGAGGAGAGAAUCCUAAGGUGAGCGAGAGAACUAUAGCUAAGGAACUCUGCAAAAUGACUCCGUAACUUAGGGAGAAGGAGUGCUCAUAGAGAUAUGAGCCGCAGUGAAACGGCCCAAGCGACUGUUUACCAAAAACACAGCUCUCUGCUAAGCCGCAAGGCGAAGUAUAGGGGGUGACGCCUGCCCGGUGCUGGAAGGUUAAGGGGAGGGGUUAACGCAAGUGAAGCCCUGAACUGAAGCCCCAGUAAACGGCGGCCGUAACUAUAACGGUCCUAAGGUAGCGAAAUUCCUUGUCAGGUAAGUUCUGACCCGCACGAAAGGCGUAACGAUUUGGGCGCUGUCUCAGCUGUAGACUCGGUGAAGUCUUAGUACCUGUGAAGAUGCAGGUUACCCGCGACUAGACGGAAAGACCCCAUGGAGCUUCACUGCAGGUUGAUAUUGGGAUUUGAUGCAGCAUGUACAGGAUAGGUAGGAGGCAAAGAGAUGGAUACGCCAGUAUUCAAGGAGCCGCUGUUGGGAUACUACCCCUGUUGUAUUGGAUUUCUAACCGGACGACGUAGAGCCGUUGACGGGACAGUGUCAGUCGGGCAGUUUGACUGGGGCGGUCGCCUCCCAAAGAGUAACGGAGGCGCCCAAAGAUACCCUCAGCUUGGAUGGAAACCAAGCGCAGAGUGCAAAGGCAAAAGGGUGUUUGACUGCGAGACCCACAAGUCGAGCAGGGACGAAAGUCGGGCUUAGUGAUCCGGCGGUGCUGAAUGGAAAGGCCGUCGCUCAACGGAUAAAAGCUACCCUGGGGAUAACAGGCUGAUCUCCCCCAA